UACGUAGGGUGCGAGCGUUGUCCGGAAUUACUGGGCGUAAAGAGCUCGUAGGCGGUUUGUCGCGUCGUCCGUGAAAACUUGGGGCUCAACCCCAAGCUUGCGGGCGAUACGGGCAGACUUGAGUACUGCAGGGGAGACUGGAAUUCCUGGUGUAGCGGUGAAAUGCGUAGAUAUCAGGAGGAAUACCUAUGGCGAAAGCAGGUAUCUGGGCCAUCACUGACGCUGAGCUGCGAAAGCUAGGGGAGCAAACAGG
rnacentral:rRNA from 1 species